rnacentral:rRNA from 1 species
UACGAAGGGGGCGAGCGUUGUUCGGAUUUAUUGGGCGUAAAGAGCUCGUAGGCGGCUCAUUGCGUCAACCGUGAAAACCAGCAGCUCAACUGUUGGCUUGCGGUUGAUACUAGUGGGCUGGAGUUCGGUAGGGGAGACUGGAAUUCCUGGUGUAGCGGUGAAAUGCGCAGAUAUCAGGAGGAACACCGGUGGCGAAGGCGGGUCUCUGGGCCGAUACUGACGCUGAGGAGCGAAAGCGUGGGGAGCAAACAGG